rnacentral:rRNA from 1 species
UGGGGAAUAUUGCGCAAUGGAGGCAACCCUGAUCCAGCCAUGCCGCGUGAGUGAUGAAGGCCUUAGGGUCGUAAAGCUCUUUCGCCUGUGAAGAUAAUGACGGUAGCAGGUAAAGAAACCCCGGCUAACUCCGUGCCAGCAGCCGCGGUAAUACGGAGGGGGUUAGCGUUGUUCGGAAUUACUGGGCGUAAAGCGCACGUAGGCGGACCAGAAAGUUGGGGGUGAAAUCCCGGGGGCUCAACCCCGGAACUGCCUCCAAAACUAUUGGUCUAGAGUUCGAGAGAGGUGAGUGGAAUUCCAAGUGUAGAGGUGAAAUUCGUAGAUAUUUGGAGGAACACCAGUGGCGAAGGCGGCUCACUGGCUCGAUACUGACGCUGAGGUGCGAAAGUGUGGGGAGCAAACAGGAUUAGAUACCCUGGGUAGUCCACACCGUAAAACGAUGAAUGCCAGUCGUCGGGUAGCAUGCUAUUCGGUGACACACCUAACGGAUUAAGCAUUCCGCCUGGGGAGUACGGUCGCAAGAUUAAAA